rnacentral:lncRNA from 1 species
AACAGAUACUUGAGGCUUCCCGGGCUACCUAGUCUCCAUUACAACCAUUCACACCCUAGUCUGAUCUAGAAUCUUCUUCCAUGCUGGCGACAAAAUCAGCGUCCGCCGAUUUCCGGCGUGGUGGCGUGUCACCAGGGAGCCACGGGGCGGUCGCGGUCUUGGGUAACCAGUUCCACUUUAUCUUUAUUUUAUAUUUUAUUUAUUUUUUUUUUUCGCAGAAUGCCGAGAUGUACAAAGUGUCCUCCCAGCAGUUCCACGAGGCGGCCUCGAAAAUGGAGACCGCGGUCAAGCCCCGCGGGCUGGAGCCCGUGUGCUCGGGCCUCCAGGCCCAGAUCCUCCGCUGCUAUGGCGACCACGCGCGCGAGGUGCUCCUGUGCUCGGAGCUGGUGAAGGCCUACCGGCGCUGCGUCACCGUGAGUGUCACCCACAAGGGCUGAGGAGCCGCCGCCGUCCCCGGCUCCGUGGCGGUGACAUCGGGGACCCCUCCGCCCCCCAGGAAGAAGGGCCCGAGGGUCCCCAGGGCCCUGCUCUGUGUCGCCCGCCCGGGGACCCCGUGUCGCCCCGGGCCGGGGCCGCCGCGUGCUCGGGGC